AUUGAACGCUGGCGGCAGGCCUAACACAUGCAAGUCGAGCGGAUGACGGGAGCUUGCUCCUUGAUUCAGCGGCGGACGGGUGAGUAAUGCCUAGGAAUCUGCCUGGUAGUUGGGGACAACGUUUCGAAAGGAACGCUAAUACCGCAUACGUCCUACGGGAGACAGCAGGGGACCUUCUGGCCUUGCGCUAUAAGAUGAGCCUAGGUCGGAUUAGCUAGUAGGUGAGGUAAUGGCUCACCUAGGCGACGAUCCGUAACUGGUCUGAGAGGAUGAUCAGUCACACUGGAACUGAGACACGGUCCAGACUCCUACGGGAGGCAGCAGUGGGGAAUAUUGGACAAUGGGCGAAAGCCUGAUCCAGCCAUGCCGCGUGUGUGAAGAAGGUCUUCGGAUUGUAUAGCACUUUAAGUUGGGAGGAAGGGCAGUAAGUUAAUACCUUGCUGUUUUGACGUUACCGACAGAAUAAGCACCGGCUAACUCUGUGCCAGCCGCCGCCGUAACAC
rnacentral:rRNA from 1 species